GCUGCUGCCUGCUGAGUUAAUCUGGAGAGCUCAGACUGACUUUAUCCUCAGGCUGUUUAUUAAGGAGUCGGUUCAUUAAUGCUUUCCACAGAUGCUCGGGGUGACUUUGAGUGUGUCUCCUUGGUGAGAAAACGGAAAGCGGUCUGCAGCCCCAUAUGUAGCGAGACAGAGUGAGGAGGAAGAGGAGGAAGAUAAAGAACCGAGUCACUGUGGUUGUGAACAGGAAAGACGUAGCCGCAUCUUGACUUGCUUCCCCGGACCCCUGCUUGUUAUCCUGCUUUGUGGACCCUGAGUGGAUGUGAACGAGUGAGCUUUUAAUGGAUUGGACUUGGAGUUGGAUUUGGGGAAACCUGCAGUCAGCUGAGACUGAAGAAGUCACUUGGAUGAGUGACGAAA